AGUGAACGCUGGCGGUAGGCCUAACACAUGCAAGUCGAACGGCAGCACAGUAAGAGCUUGCUCUUACGGGUGGCGAGUGGCGGACGGGUGAGGAAUACAUCGGAAUCUACUUUUUCGUGGGGGAUAACGUAGGGAAACUUAUGCUAAUACCGCAUACGACCUACGGGUGAAAGCAGGGGAUCUUCGGACCUUGCGCGAUUGAAUGAGCCGAUGUCAGAUUAGCUAGUUGGCGGGGUAAAGGCCCACCAAGGCGACGAUCCGUAGCUGGUCUGAGAGGAUGAUCAGCCACACUGGAACUGAGACACGGUCCAGACUCCUACGGGAGGCAGCAGUGGGGAAUAUUGGACAAUGGGCGCAAGCCUGAUCCAGCCAUACCGCGUGGGUGAAGAAGGCCUUCGGGUUGUAAAGCCCUUUUGUUGGGAAAGAAAAGCAGCAGGUUAAUACCCCGCUGUUCUGACGGUACCCAAAGAAUAAGCACCGGCUAACUUCGUG
rnacentral:rRNA from 1 species